AAGGAAUAUUGGACAAUGGAGGCAACUCUGAUCCAGCCAUGCCGCGUGAAGGAAUAAGGCCCUAUGGGUUGUAAACUUCUUUUAGACGGGACAAAACCCCUUUACGUGUAAAGGGUUGAUGGUACUGUCAGAAUAAGCAUCGGCUAACUUCGUGCCAGCAGCCGCGGUAAUACGAAGGAUGCAAGCGUUAUCCGGAAUUAUUGGGUUUAAAGGGUGCGUAGGCGGACUAAUAAGUCAGUGGUGAAAGCCUGCAGCUUAACUGCAGAAUUGCCAUUGAUACUGUUAGUCUUGAGUACAGUUGAGGUAGGCGGAAUGUGUCAUGUAGCGGUGAAAUGCUUAGAUAUUACACAGAACGCCGAUUGCGAAGGCAGCUUGCUAAGCUGUAACUGACGCUGAGGCACGAAAGCGUGGGGAGC
rnacentral:rRNA from 1 species